CGCACACUCCGCGCCCUCGCGCACACUCCGCGCCCUCGCGCACACUCCGCGCCCUCGCGCACACUCCGCGCCCUCGCGCCGCGGCCCCUCCGCUGAGAUCGGUCGCCGUGAUGCGAAGCCCAGAAUCCCUCCGCGAAGCGGCGCGAGGGCUCCUGGGAAAUGUAGUUCCGGCGCUGCGCUCCGAGGGGCGGCCGAGCGUGGGGGCUCCGAGCCCCGCCUUCCUCCUGGCGGCUUCGGGGCCCCUGGGCGCCGCCGUCCGCCCAGUGCCGCUCCCGCCCCGCUUUCGCGGAGGCCCGGGUGUUCCGACGCUGAGAUGUAGGUGCCCCGAGGACGGGGCUGAGAAGUCAUCUGCAGGUGAAGCCAGUACAAAUAACCAAGGGAUGACGCCCAGUGAAAUGUCCCCUUGCUCUGAUUGGAUGAAAGAAACAAGAAAAGAAAUAUCCUGAUCUAUCUUCCCAUUGUGCAGGCAGAUGUCACUCACACUCUCAAGAUGGCAGACACUGACCUGUCCCCACUACGGGCUCUGACUGCACAGGACUCUGCCUGCUUCUGUGUGAGAAAUAACUGAAGAGGAAAGGAUGGAAAUCCAGCCACCUGCCUCCAGGGAUCAGUGACCUUUAAAGAUGUGGCUGUGGAGUUCACACAGGAAAAGUGGGUGAGGUUGGACGCUGCUCAGAGAAGUGCGUACAGAGAUGUGAUGCUGGAGAACUAUAUGAAUCUCACCACAGUGGAACUUCAGUUAUGCAAGCCUCCUGUGCUCUCCCUGCUGGGUGAAGAAGAGAUGAUACCAAGGCAAAGAAUUCCUCAAGGCAACUGUCCAGACUGGGAGACUAAAAACCAAAGAACGCCUAUGUGGAAUAUUUUUUGGGAAAAAGCAUCCAAUGGAAUUAAAGUGGUAAGAUUCAUGAUGGGUGAGUGGUCUCCCACAUUAAGAGAAGAGUGGGCAGGCCAUAAGAUCAGAAAACAUCACAAGAUCUCAGAGGGUAAUUUGAGGCAAAUCACAUUUACCCAGAAGAAAACAGCGUAUCAGGAGAGAUUCUGUGACUGAUGUGAAUUCGAGGAAAACUCUAAAAUUAGAUCAAAACUUGGUUUUUCAAAGAGAGUUUCUACCAGGAAACACUGCCAUAAAUGUUCCUUAGGUGGUGGGUGUUUGAAGUGUAAUUCAAUCCUAAGCAAUCACGAGGAAAACUAAGUGAGAAACUCUGUGGAAGUUGUGAAUACAAUAGAGCUCUGUGGCAUCUUGAAAGAACUCAAACAGCACAGAAAGAGCACACCUGGUGUAAAACAUAGCAUGCUCCCUCUGCAGAACCACCUUCACACGGUGGGAAAUUCCUAUGAAUGUAACAAAAACAAAACUCUUUGUCAUCGAUCAUCCCUUAAGCGACAGAAGCAACCUCCUACUGCAGAGAGACAUGGGUGGAAACAGUGUGGGAAAACGUUUGGGAUUUCUGAUCUCACUUUGCACCAGAGAAAUCACCUGGGUGAGAAACAGUAUGCAUGUCAGGAAUGUGGGAAAGUCUUCAGUGAUUCCUCAACUCUAAGGAGACAUGUGCAAACUCACACUGGAGACGUGCGAACUCACACUGGAGAAAAGCCCUGCGAGUGCCCACAGUGUGGAAGAGCCUUCAGUCAGAGCGCUUCACUUAUUAUACACAAGAGAACUCAUACUGCACGAGAAUCCCUCUGAAGGAGUCAUCUUGUGAUGGUGAGAAUGACAACCGUGCCUAAGGAUGAGGUAGUAGGAAGAGUCUUCAGAGCCAUCUUUAAAUGGCUGGGCCAGCUCUGCACUGCUUAUACCUGGACAUCUUUUUAUGAGAAAAAUUUCUUUGAACACAAGAGAGACCAUUUUUAACACAGAAAGGAAAUUCACAGAUUGAUAGAUGUCAUGAAACUCACCUGCAAUUUGAGAAAUGCAUGUUGUGCAGAUGUCGUGUUCACAAGAAGCACAGAGUCUCCUACCUGUGAGUCUCCUUUCCUCUGGAGAUAGUUUGAGGGGCUGAUCGCCUCAGUCCGAUCACGGAUGGAGCUGUGUUGAAUUUGUAGCAUGACUUAGUUUACCUCUAUUUAGUACUCAUCUCAGUGUCAUGCUCUAGUGAAAAACUGGAAAAUUCCCAGUAACAGCUAAUUGUUUUUUUAAAAUUGUUUGUCUGUAAAAUGGAAUUUAAUGAGUCAUUAAAAUGUAGUUAGAUAUUUAUUGAUAUGUGGGGAUAUAUUCACAUCAUGAUUUUUAAAUACAAUUACAAAAUAUCAAAGUAUAACCAUGUUUUUAUUACAAUAUAUAUUGUAAAUAUAUAUUUCUAUUUUGGACACGAUGCCCCCACGGUGUUAAUUCUGAGCCUUGUUGGGGCAAGUCUCCUUAACAUCCUGCCCCAUAUAGCUUCAGAUUUUGCAAAAUGGCUUGAGGAGGGCUGGCCAUUAGUUCAGGCAGUUACCCUUCCCUGGUGGGUUUUCAGUCCUCAGUACCACACACUGCAGCUAGUUCACUCUACCUUUUGAAACGUAGUCUAGCCCCCAGCCUUCUACCCAGCUCGAAAACUCAGCACAUGUCCCAUGGGCGAGAACCACCUGUGCAUUUGAAGCUUCUCACGUUUUCUUUUUUCCCCCCUUCUUCCACUCCCCUCCCCCACUCCAGUUCAAGCCAUUGUUUCUCAGUCUAGUUGUGUAGGACACAGCUCCCUGGCCCAUGCUGGUAUUAUGAGCCUUGCACUCCCCCCAGCUGAAGAAGUCAGUCGCUGGUCGUUGAUCGGCCACUCAGAGCAGCUCAUGUCAGCUAUCUACAGCUCACGCCGACCUCCAGCUGCUCAAGGCAGCCCAGCUCCAGGGAGAGCUAUUGUUCACAAUCUUAGCUGUAGAGGGUGCAGCUCACUGGCCCAUGUGGGAAUUGAACCGGAGACUUCAGCAUUAGGAGCACAGCACUCCAAAUGCCUGAGCCACUGGGCUGGCCCCUCUCUCACAUUUAUAAUCUGCCACCUCAACCUCAGGUGACCCUUAAAACUCUUUCCCCCAGAAAAGACCCUUUUCUGGGCCCAGCCCAAGCUUCAGCCCACAGCCAAAAUCAGGAAAUGCUUACAGGGGGGAAAAGAACAGCUUGUGUGAACAGGUCACCUGAGGAUUGUCCCCUUUGGAAGUUUACAUCAUCUAGUCCUCAUUGCUUCCACAGCUCUAUGAUGCCUAUAAAACUAUUUUUGAAAUUUAUCUGCUUGCUACCACCAUACUGCAUCCUAUCUAGAAAUGGACUUUUUGAAGAUACUAUAAACAGUUAAACUCAACCUCAUAGUAACAACACUGCAUACAGUUGAAGAAAUAACCAUAAAGAGCUGUAACCGCAGACACACACGACAUGACAGCUGCAUCAAGGAGUGUGCCAGUGUUUACUGUUCAAUGGUCACUCAGCAGUACACUUUGUUACAAGAGACUUACUCAAGAUAAAUUCAGUUCAACUCAGAAAAGGUUACAUAUGGAGUCACAUUACAGGCAAGGCACCAUGUUGUGUGAAAGAUUCCCUACUGUGCGCUCCUGUAAAGGGCAAGAGUAUGGUGCCUUUACAGUGCAUGCAUGAGAGUAACCAUAACAGAGUAAUAGAUACUGUUACUGUUAGAGGUGCAACAGUUACAUCCCUGUAUGUUUCCCAUACACAUACACACACCGAAUGAGCAAACCUCGGAGUCACACUGCACAGAUCUGGCAUCUCCAGUGGGCGUUUACCCGUUGAGAUGGUCACACUGUAUCUCACAAAUUGUACCCGAAGUAUUACACAAGUCAUUCAAAGUGCAACAUCGUAUGCUCGUCCAUCUCAGCAUGUCUGGCUGUUGUUACUGAUUUUCACCGUGAAAAGACGGGCAACAGUUUGUUGUCUCCUGCCUCAGCACGCCAGCUCAUAACAAAAGGUGUAUUAAGUGUAGAAAGAUGAAACAUAUUAUGUGCUAAAAGUGAAGGAAAGCAACCUUCACCUGGCACUGACAAAACACACUGUAUGAAUGAAAACAUCCAAAAGAUGCUUACUUCUUUCCACUGCCAAGUGUCCUGACAUCUUUUAUUGUAUAACCUAGGAAUUGCCUAUAUUUUAGUUUAAUUAAAAAUAAUACACUUGUUAUUUUCUGAAAUAUCUUACCACAGAUCAAUGCAAGGUCUUUUUGGAUGAGUUACAUACUUCAGAGUGACGUUACAUGAAGGGAGUUUUAGAGGUAAGUUGUAACUUUUGAUAAAAUGAUUCAGGUACUAUAUUCGUGAGCUGGACUACCUAUAAAGGCACUUCUGGCCUGACUGCCCCUCAUUUACCUGGUCACAGGCCUCUUGUCACUUUUUUCUCCAUGUCUCUUUCCCUUGCUCCAGCAAGGCGGUCAGGUUUGGUUUAGAAAUAGAAAGUUCUGCUUACAAGAGGGAGAAAAUAGAUACUUCAAAAUACUAGUUUUCUGAGAUCCAGACCCGAUCUCUUAGGGAAGCUGUUACAAGAACAGGAGCAGGAGGAAACUGCUGACCACUUUCCACUACUAACGAAUUUUCCACCAUUUCCUCAGGAACAUGGAACAGGUCGUCAGGCCAUUGAGCGCCCACCCCGGUAUCUCCUUUGGAGACAGCAGAGAUAACCACAUUCAGAUUCUGAAUUUGGAGGAACGGCAACCUCCUCAGACCGUGUUCCCAUAGCUGUCCAUCAUUACAUCCCAUGUCAAGUCUUGGGAAGGGUCCAGUCAGCCCCAUUCCUCCUGAGGGCAGUCUGUAGCCACAUCCCUGAAUGGGACAAACCUCUGAAGUGACAGAUACAUUCUUGUUCACCACAGACCUGCCCACAUGAUGCGAGGGGAAGUAACGCUGCUGAGAGUACUGGGGAAGGGAAGAGCUGGACAGCAGUGCUGGCAGUUUGAGGCUUCAGACAGUCCUACAAGAGUAAUUAUUAGGCAGCAGCUAUGUGUUCUCUCACACCA